CUCCGAGCUCCGCGGGCUCCGGUGGGGCGGUGGUGGACGGUUUGGCGCGCGAGGUGUAGAGGGGACUCUCUUCCUCCCGAAGAGUGUCCACGGGCGCUCAGUGCGUCCUCACGCACUUUCCUGCUCCAAAAAUUUGGCUAAAGUUUUGUUGGAAAGUAGCAUCCAGAUGUGGGAGAUUGUGAAAAGUCGUGCGUAGAUUUAGGAACUAGAUCCAGAAAAAAGACGAUUACUCAGGGUGGUCAACUGAAGGUGAAGUGCUCCACUUAAAGUCAAACGCAGAGAUGGUGACACUUCAGCGUACGUCCCCCAGGAACCAAGACAUUCUCCUGCAUCGCUGCUGUCUUAGUUUGUGCUGCUGUAACAGAAAACCCUAGACUCAGCGGUUUAGAACCUACGGAAAUUUAUUUCUCAGAGUUCUGGAGGCCGGAAGCCCGAGGUCAGAGUGCCAGCAGGUCAGGGGCUGGUGAGGACCCUCUUCCCAGUGGCAGCUGGCAGUUUUCUCCGAGUCAGCCAGUCCCCUCGUCUGUGUGAUGUGCGUACAGCCAGCUUAUUUACUCGGGAGGACAGAGGGAAAAAAUAACAGGAAACCAACCCACAUCAAACAAUGAAGAUGAAUAUCAAUAUUUGUUCCUUUCCGGAUAAGAGGAGUUAUGCACAGUAUUACGUCAUCAUAGCAGCACUUGAAAGAAUCAAAGUUGCUUUGAGCUUGAAGAAUUUCCAGUACGGCAAUUUGGCUGUUGUCAUCUAAAUGAAGUAAAGUGAAAAUACAGCCUUUUAACAGAAAUGUUGCCAAAUUGCCGUCUAUACAGGAUGAACCACCUUACACUCCUACUGGUAAAAAUACCCUUUGGUUGUUUUCAGUUGUGAAAAUAAAUGAAGACCACCCAGACGAGGACACACAAAGGCUCUUUAUUCAAAGCUGGCUACAGCGAGGGCGUCAGUGCCGUCACAGGCUGCGCAGAGACUCGAAGGUGGCAGUGGUUCAUGCUUUCUGAUUGCUCUGUAGCAUCCUGUUGAAUGACUAUGCCACAAAACAGGGAAGGGCUGGAGUCUGCCCCACAUUGCUAACACCAUUUCCUCACCUGUUGUGCAUCCUUCAGCCUCCUCCCCUAUCACAAGCAAAGAGAAUUCGCUGGCAUCAAUGCAACCAUGUUAGAAUAAAAGCAUAUUUUAUAAAUAAA
rnacentral:lncRNA from 1 species